ACACAGCGAGAAAUCCUUCCAAUAUAUUCACUGAAGAUUUAUGUUGCAAAAUGAGCCGGAACGUGGCAGAUGUCAGCAGUGCCACACUAAGCUGCUGUCAUUAUGAAUUAUCAGACUGUUCAGUGCCAAGGUGCAACAUCCAAACUUACUGGCUGAACUUUGCGGGCCAUGUCCUGUUUGUAUUCUGUGGAUGGACAGAGUGUUGUGGCAGAGUCUGAACGAGCUGCAAGGUCCCAAUGGUAAUGGUGAUGAACCUGCUUGCCAGACCAGUGUCAGCUUGGACCUGACACGAACGAUCGACUGGAAACUGACUGGAAUGGUGUUAUUCUUCAGUUAUACAGUAUUAGUAUUGAUCUGGCCAUCGGCAGAAAGACCAGCAUUAAUUGCCCAUCGCUAAUUGGUGUUGAUAAGCUAAUGACAAGCUGCCUUCUUGAAUUCAGAUUUUGGUUCAGAUGCACCUAUUAUGCUCUGUGUUGCCAUGUUCCAGGAUAUAAACCCUACAAAGGAUCAGCACAUAUUUUCAAGUCAGGGUGCCGUGCACAAUCCUGAUUUGAUGGAGGCAGACGUGAAAAGCACGGAGGAACAUCUGCUGAAACUUCUGAAAUGCCUGUUUCGCUACUGCUGCUACUGUGCGAUCCAGAAUCUCUGGAGGGGAAGGCCCCGAGUCCUCGGCUUUGCUUGUUGCUUGGCGGCUGAGGCGGGGUCGAAGCACUCGGCAGAGAUGGUGCUUGGUGUCGGAGGCUCGAAGUUUUCGGACGGACUCAGAGUCGGCUGUGGUCGGGUGCUUCCAGGGUGCUGCAGCGGCAAGUUUGCGGUGCUGGAGGUUCAUGGCAGGGAGAGUUUCUUCCUUCUACCGUCUGCGUGAGAUGAUGGGCUAUUGGGACUUUGAGACUUUUUUUUUUACCGUGCCCAUGGUCUGCUCUCAUCAAAUUGCGGUAUUGCUUUGCACUGUUGUAACUAUAUAUUAUAAUUAUGUGGUUUUUGUUAGUUUUAGUCUUGGUCUGUCCUGUGUUUCUGUGAUAUCAUACUGGAGGAACAUUGUAUCAUUUCUUAAUGCAUGCAUUUCUAAAUGACAAUAAACGAGGACUGAGUGUCCUCAUAAUCUAAUCUAAUCUAAUCACAUGUCCAGCAUUUGUAAGAUAGGCUUUUCAAUGAGUGACAUGCUGCAAAUGUGACCUGGUAAGGUAUCACUUCAGCUAUUUCUCCACAUCACUGAAUAAUUCAACAAAGAUGACACUGUGCAGAUCCAACAGUAUUCCCAGCAGAGAGUCCACUACACGUAAAAGGCUUCAUGUGUGCAUGAACUGUGAAGAUAUGGAGCAAUACAAUUAAAAAGUGUAUUAAAAUAAUGUGCAAAGAAAACAUUAAUUGUAACAUGACAAGUAAAUAAUAUUAAUUGCUAUGAUAAUCAACUUAUUCCAUUUACAAUGAGAGGUAAAUUUAGUAAACCUAUGAUCGAUUUCUUCUCAACCUUACUGCGGAUUACUGAGAACCUGAUUGGAAUACAUUAUGUUGUACGUACAUUUCAGAAAUGGACUAGUGCACACAUAAUAACAGCAGCAUAGAAUGAAGCAAUUCAUCCCACUGCAUCUCUGCUGGCUCCUUAGAAAAAUCCCAGCCAGAGUUCCAUUCCCCAGCACUCUAAGGCUUUCUUGCAAAUAUUUGUACACUUUACUCCUGACUCAACCUCUGUGCUGGCUUUUAUUAUGUAGGGCAUUGAAAUGCCUUCACUUUUUAGCAACUUAAACAUGCAAAGCCUCCACUGUAAUUUUUGGAAUAAUGGUCACCAUCUUCUGAGCUAACAUAAAAAAUUGGCUUUGGGUUACAAUCA